rnacentral:rRNA from 1 species
CCUACGGGAGGCAGCAGUGGGGAAUAUUGCACAAUGGGCGCAAGCCUGAUGCAGCCAUGCCGCGUGUGUGAAGAAGGCCUUCGGGUUGUAAUGCACUUUCAGCGGGGAGGAAGGCGGUGAGGUUAAUAACCUCAUCGAUUGACGUUACCCGCAGAAGAAGCACCGGCUAACUCCGUGCCAGCAGCCGCGGUAAUACGGAGGGUGCAAGCGUUAAUCGGAAUUACUGGGCGUAAAGCGCACGCAGGCGGUCUGUCAAGUCGGAUGUGAAAUCCCCGGGCUCAACCUGGGAACUGCAUUCGAAACUGGCAGGCUAGAGUCUUGUAGAGGGGGGUAGAAUUCCAGGUGUAGCGGUGAAAUGCGUAGAGAUCUGGAGGAAUACCGGUGGCGAAGGCGGCCCCCUGGACAAAGACUGACGCUCAGGUGCGAAAGCGUGGGGAGCAAACAGGAUUAGAUACCCUUGUAGUC